rnacentral:lncRNA from 1 species
AAAAUUCCACUUUUGCCCCCAUUUAGUAUUCUCCAUUUAGCGGACCUAUAUUAACCAAGUGAGGUAAAUUGCUGUACUGGAAUUCGUUUUGCUACUGCGAUUCCCCAAUUCAAACUCAUGAACCCUAGUAUACAAAGAUAUGCAAAUUGGCAACAAGUUGUCCAAAUUUGAGUCUGUUCGUCCAUUAUAUCAGCAUUUAAUCGGUAAGUUUUUCAUUUAAUCUCCCAAAUCCGUACCUAAAUUGAUAUGUUUUGCUGCGAAUCAAAUGUGUUUAGUGCGAAUCAAAUUGAUAUGUUAGUCGUGGACAUGGCUUCUGAAUCAAAUGUGUUUACUGCUGAUUUUGACGGUCUGUAUAUUCUGCUUUGACUUCUUUCUAUUUUCAUAAUUGUUCAUAUUAAUCCCUGCUGAUUUUUUUCCCACUUGAGGUUGUAGUCUCGCCUAGUCAUUGUCAUACUAAUAGCUGCAUCUCUUUUUCAAAUGCUAUAUUUAUCUCUAUAAUUUGAUCUUUAUUUGUUUUAAGUCUUAAUUUUUCCCAUGUGGAUUACACUUGUGAUACUGCGGGUAAUACAGAAGUUGCAAACUAAAGGCAGAGCCACACAUUAAUAAUAGUUAUUGUAACCUUGAGAAUUAUUAUAUAUGUGUGUGUAUUAUGAAACAUAGGAUUAGAACUUUUGAAAGGACAUGUGGGACUUCUGAGUUAAUUUCAGUGGUUCUAGCGUUACUGUGCACAGCGGUUUUAGGUUUUCCAUAUCCUCUUUGGUCAUGACUGAUGACUUGUUGGGAUUUAAUAUAGUUUUCCUCAUCACAUGUUGCCAAAUGUUCUUGAGCUCCAACAUUCUAACAGGUUUCACUAGGUAGUCUCGGGCACCAUUCCUAACACCCUUCAUUACAUUUGAAGUGUCAUCAUUUGCGGACAUCACUGCAGUUUUGAUAAAGUUUAUAUGUACAUUAGCUAAGAAAAGUUUAGUGAAGUCUGUGAGGAAAGAAUUCAGUACUCAACACACACACACACACACACACAUAUAUAUAUAUAUAUAUAUAUAUAUAUAUAUAUAUAUAGUGCUUGCAUAGAACUGUUUGGUAUGAAAUCUUCUGUAAAACCCAUGGGCUAUUUUAGUGAUUUUAAUCCCAUGGACUAUAGUCUAUGGAUUAGUAAUCCUAUCACUAUUUUAGUCGUAAAAAAUAGUCCUUUUCCAUGCUCUUUUGCUAAAAUUGGAUCUAAAGCAAAGUGGCCAAGAUCCUUUGUUGCUUCGUUUGGCAAAUCCUAAAGCAAAGUGGCCAAGAUCGAAGCCGAAAGUUGAAGUUUGUGUUAAUAGGCCAAAACAAUGGAAUUCAGACGAUUGUGGUGUUUAUGUUGCAAAGUACGUAGAUUUUUUAGAAUAGUGAGCUGCACUUCAAUACCUAUUGUGAAUUGUCUAUGUAGUCCCAAAGUCCUCUAAUCAUUUUAAUAACCGAAUUGGGAUUAAGACCUAUUGUGAAUCUCAUGAACUAUUGAUAAUUUGAAUGCAGGUUGCACCUGAAGUCAUUAGGCCCAGGGCACAUCUACAUACGUCUUGAAGUAUCGCGUCGCCAAAAUAAAGAAUUGUCAAAAUUUUAUUUAUUAAGUACAUAUAAAUAACCAGAAUCUUCAUUUCAUUUUCUAAAAUCUGAGGCUUGCUACUGUGAUGAUUUUUUUGACAGUUGUGGCUGAACAGAAACCUUAGGCCAAAGAAACCAGACUUUCUGUUGUUCUGCUAAUUUUAUUUUAUUUAUUAUUUUUUUCCUUUUUAAGUUAUCUUCCUACUUUAAUCUGCCUUGAUGAAUUUUAGACAUCUAAUUGGGUGUUCUAUGUUUUGAAAGUUAUAUAUUCUAAUGUUCUGUGAUGAUACUCAAGUGGCUCUCUGUGUUGAUGUUUACCUGAUUGCAGAUUGUGUGAUAAGUAAUAAAAACGAGGUUGUUAUUUAGACUUUAAAAAUUCUAUGUUACUCUAUUCUGACUUGUCAAAACUCUUUCCCUAAGAUUGAUAUUUAGAAUUGUGCCUACAUUACAGAUUGGAGUUCAGACAUCACAAAUGGAAAUGUUACCAAGCAACGUUGAUAUGAUCUCCUGACUCCUGGGAGACUUGUACUGAAGAUUUAUCUUAUGUUUCCUAAUUUAUAUUCUGAAAUUUCGCAUGAAAAUUAUAUAAGAUAUUUGAGAGUUGGAACAAACCUAUUUGUUUUUGCAACUUCAGUUACAAAGGUAAUUUCCCAACGUAAUUACUAUAGUUACUGUGUCUAUUUGUUUUCCAUGUAUAAUGUAGACGAUUUUUGGCAAUUGCUUUUGUUGUCAGGUAGAGAUACCUGUGCAUGCUAAUAUAAGCAUGCUUUGGAGGAUUUCAUUUUGUACUUCUAUCCAAAUAAAAUCUUACUUUUCUACCAAAAUAUAAAUUUAAGCAUGCCUUUUAUAUUAGAAAGCACUGAGAUAAAAUUAUGACAUUGUAUAUAUUUUGAUAUGUGGACCUAUUUAUAGCUAUAUUAGUUCUUGAUCUUUGAACCUGUUAUUGCCAGCAUUUCAAUUAAUAACUUGUGAUGAAGGCAACAAUAACAUGUGUAUACUGUUUGGUCUCUAGGUGAGCAUAUGCCUGCAUUUUAAAAUAACUUGUGGUUUGGGGCUUCACGAGAUCUCUGUUUCUUUGAAUAACAUAUUGAAAAAAUGGAAGUUUAAAAUAUUUAAUAGUUGUAAUGGCAUCAUUGCAUAUCUUCAAAUUGAUUCUUUUGCUGCUACUUGGGGAUGAUAUGUCAAUUUUGAUGUAUUGGGGGAUGAUAUGGAAAUUUUUAUGUAUUAGGGCUGUGAUGUACAAGAACCUGUUGAUGUAUACAUGUUGAAUAUUAACUGUUGCUAUAAUGGGGCUGUACAUGUUGCGUGUUGUUGCAGGAAUGAAUUCGUCAAUUCGUGUACGUGUAAUAUUAUAUUCGUGUAUGAUAUUGUUGUACUGCGUGUAAUAUUAACUGUUGCUAUAAAAUAUUAAUUGUUGCUAUAAUGGGGCUGUACAACGAAUUCGUGUAUGAUUUUGCUGUACUGCGUGUAAUAUUAACUGUUGCGAAGAGUUACUAUACUAUACAUUAACUGUUGCAAAGUGUUACUAUACCAUAUUGCGUAUGUUGUAUUUAAUUGGUCCGUCCGCUAGUAUGUCUAGCGGAUGUACAGCUGGCGGACGGUGUACACCCAAACAUAAUUAUAAGUUAUUUUUUAUUCCAUAGUAAAUAAAUUACUUUUUAUUCUAUAGUAAAUAAAUGCUAUUUUUUAUUCUAUAAUAAAUUUUUAUUCCAUAGUAAAUAAAUGCCAUUUUUUAUUCUAUAGUAAAUACAUGCUAUGGAUUAUUUUCUAUAUAUAUAUAUAUGUAUUUUGUUGGGAAAGAAAAUACACAUAAUUAUUAUUUUGAUUAUAUUAACGAAUUAACCAAUUUGAGGAACCAGCUUGACAAAACCGUACUUAUCAACCCAAAUCCGAACCCUAUCGCAACGGAAAUCAGCGGUGACCAUCAUUCCUUCUUCUACAAUAUGAACACCAAGUUCUGGAUUCUGCCUCCCGAUGACUGCUGCUGCCACCUCUCCCUUUGCCCCUACCAGCUCCGGCCAUGAACUCCUUUUUGCUCCUAUAUAUAUAUAUAUACAUAUAUAUAUAUAUAUAACAAAACAUAAAUUAUACACCAAAACUAAC